UUCCUCUGCCUGGUGGGGCUUUGCAGGACUGAUUGAAUCCCUCUUCUACUUUAAAAUCCUUCAAAUAUUUGAAGACACAGGUCAUAUUCUCCCCCAGUCUUCUCAGGAUUAAAUAUCCCGAGCUCCUUUAGCCAAUCUGCAUAUUACACCAUCUUGGACACCUACCAUCACUCAGUUAUCUCCUUUAUGGGAUUUUCUCAGUUUAGAGUCCAGGGUCUGAACAGAAUGGGUUGCUGUUAUUCCUUAUUCUCCCUAGUCUCAUAGCCAUUUCUCUUUCAAAGCCACCUAAGAUGCUGUUAUCUGCGUGUGCUGGAUUUUAAAGACUAAGAAACAGUAAAUCCAUUUGAAAUUUCUAGUCUACUAAAAACUGAGUCUCUCUCUCCCUCCCCCCUCCCCCAGUGAAUUGCUCCUUCAUCUUGUAUUUGAGAAGUUAAUUUUUGGACGUAAAGAAAAGGCUUUCCAGGAUCAUUUUUUGCUUUUCCAGAGACAUCUAAGCAACACUGAAGGAUCUGGAAGUUACUUGUUAGUCACUAGACUGGGGGGAUGUGGAGUGUCUCUUCUCUGAAGGGAGAUAACUUUUGGCAUGGAACCCCCCCCCCCCCAUGCUAAUUGGCAACUCUUUGCAAGUUGGAUGCUUUACAAUUAAUUGGAGUCACUGAAGAACAAUGUGCCUUUGGUCAACCUGUUACUAUGUCAAAGGAGGAAUCCAAUAGCCAGGGGGAUGCCUGCUUUCUACAUCUGUUUGUGGGCUCCAGUGUAUCUUUCCAUUUUCUGGGAGCUCUUAUACAACUAUUUUAAGGCUUGCAGAAUUUUGCAAAAGUGAUUGAUCCUCACAACAACCCAGUAGUCUGUGAAGAUUGGAUUUAGCUAUCUCCUGAUUGUAACAAUGAAGAUACUUUACUUAGCUCUAUCUUUAUUGUGAAGAUAAAAUUGUCAUUUCCUGAUUGUAACAAUGAAGGUACUUAGCUCUUACUUUAUAAUGAAGCUAGAAUUUUAAGCUACAACCUAUUUUUAGAUUUUAACUACAAAAAGGUGUUAAGUAACUACAAAAGGUGAAUUAACUAUAAAGAGGUGUUAACCCAAAAGAUAUAAUCUAACCAGAGAAGGUGAGAACUAAAGAAUGGACAGUCCUGGAGAAAAAUCUAACCAGAGAAGGUGAGAACUAAAGAAUGAAUAGUCCUGGAAAAGUAUCUGUUGUGAUUGGUAAACGUGAAAAUUUAGAGGAGGUGACACAAGAGAAAAAGGUAUUUAAAUAGAGGAAAAGAAGACUGAAGAGACAGUCAGUCACCCGGGCUUGGAGUGAAGGAAUCAGUCACUCAGAACUGUAGGACAUUCGGAUUCAUUUGGAGAUUUGGGCACUAACUUGGAGGAGCAACUGGAAGACAGACACUUAAGGAGCAAUACCCAGACUUCUUUUAGACUGUCACCAUUGAUGAGUGAAAGGCUGACUUAGUGGACUUGCUUUUCUCUUCCCCUGGCUGGGGCUUAGAGAUUCUAACUGGUAUCAGAAGAAGUCAUAGUGUUCUCUCUCUCUCUCUCUCUCUCUCUCUCUCUCUCUCUCUCUCUCUCUCUCUCUCUCUCUCUCUCUCCUUUCCUUAAUAUCUUCCUUCC
rnacentral:lncRNA from 1 species